CUCAGCCAUUUAUAAUUGUUUGAUAGUUAUGACAGUGCUAUACAUUUAAUCUCAUUUAUACUUUAUUACUCUUUCAUCCCACACAUUUCCUUUCAUUAUAACGCUGUCAUGAUAUCGUGCUUUCAUUUCGAUGAAACGAAAGUCUGAUGGGACAAUCGAUGGCGCGGAAUGAACUGGGUACAAGACUGCUUAGUUUGGUCUCAUCCUCGUUCUCAGGGCCUCACGACCGCGCGCGAACUCCAUAGGCCCUGGAAUACACGGAACCGGAAGCGCAAGAAAACUUGCAGUAGUUUCUAAAGCGCAUGCUCUUGAAUUGGGACGCUUCAGCAACCGUAAUAAUUUUCACAGACAAGUAUUACGAAGGAACCAAGUAUUUGUGUUGACAUAUUUUGAUAGAAAAAUCUUUUCUAGCGAAAAUUUCUCAACUUCUGCGAAAUAGCAGUUCUCUGAGAAGCCAAUUAGAUCUCUCCCUUCGGUCGUCUAACCCAGAGCCUAAUUUUCAACGAAUUUUCAAUGGCUCUGGGGACGAGAAUGGUUUGGUCUGCAAUGUUUGAUUGUCUUCCUUAAGGCUACACCUUAAAAAUCUCACAGCUUGUCAACAAGAUGUGUUCGCACUGCUUGUUCCCAAUUGUUGACAAGUCUGGAAUAAGUUGUUAUCAUCUUGUAACAAGGUUGACGAGGCCAACAGACUCGCAACAAGUUGUUCCAACAAGUCUGAUAUCGUCUGCACGUAACAAGUUGUUAAUAAGACCCCGUUUACACGGUACCGGACGAAUUUGGGACCGGACGAAAAUUCGUCCUUUUUCGCCUGUUUACACGCGAAUUCGUCCUGUUAGGGGGUCUCAAAUUCGUCAGGUUUCGUGGUUCUCGUGUGUUUACACGGACGAAACGGACGAAUUUUCGUCCGGUCACAAAUUCGUCCGGUACCGUGUAAACGGGGUCUAAGUUGAUGACAACAAGCUCGUAGCAACUUGUUAAGGCGUUUUUCCACUAAGCGGAAUUUUUCGACCGAAUCGAAAUUUUCUUUUGUCUUACGAGCACUCAGAUGGAACUAAACAGAAAUCUUUUGAAUUUGAACAAUAGAAAUUUCCGUUCGAUCGAAAAAUUUCGCCUAUUAAGGCGGUUUUCCACUCCUUAAAAGGCGGUUUUCCACUAGGCGAAAUUUUUUUUCGACCGAAUCGAAAUUUCUC